AGAAGGGCAGGGCAGAAGGGAAGGGCAGGGAAGGCAGAAGAGAAGGAAGGAAGGGAGGUUUAAUUAGUUCAUAUUUCUGCAGGCCGUUCUGGAAACACGGCCCUGGCAUCUGCUUCUGGCGAGGCCUCAGGGAGAUUGCAAUCACAGCAGAAGGCGAAGGGGGAGCAGGCAUGUCACAUGGCAAGAGGGAGCAAGAGAAGAAAGUGGCACGUCCCAGACUUUUAAACAACCAGCUGUCACAGGGACUAACUGAGGGAGAACUCGCUCAUCACCUGGGAGAUGGUGCUAGGCCAUUCAUGAGGGGUCCAGCCCCAUGAUCUAAUCACCUCCCACCAGGCCCACCUCCAACACUGGGAAUCACAUCUCAACAUGAAAUUUGGAGAGACGCACAUCCAAACUAUUGCACCACAGGAAGCUGGAAGAGGUGGACGGUCCUCCCCUGGAGCACUCAGAGACAGCCACCAACACCUUGAUCUCAGAUUUCUGACUCCCAGAACUCUGAAAAAAUUUUUGUUGUUUUAAGCCACAUUUGUGAUAUUUUGUUACGGCAGCCACAGCACGGAUAUAGCUGGUAACAGAGUUCUUUAGCCUCCAAAAUACAAGCCUGGGGUAAAUAACUAUUGAAUUUGGCCACAUGGAAAUCAGGAAGAAUGUAAUAAGCAUCAUCGAUGGACGGGAUGACCUGGGAGAUCGUGGCAAGUUUAAAGCUAAUUGGAAGUUGGCAACCAAAAAAUCCUGUCUUGCAAAUGGCCAGGAAAUUGCCAAGAAAACCUUUAGAAAACAUGGUUAAAGAUGGAGAAACCCGGAUGACUCCCUGGUUUCUGAAGAGGUGCUUAGGCAUUGAAGUGAGACUGAUGAGACUUCACACUGUACCCUUCAGAAGGGCAGACACUCACGAGAUAAUCAACCACGGCUCCCUCGCUGGGAGGCAGACACAGAGCUGGAGGCGGCGGCCACAAACUAGGUGGGCAGAGAGGCGUCAGCAUCGGGACUUGCGGGAGGCCCUGGGAAGGAACAGGCAGCGGUGGGGCCUGGACAGCCCUGGGGAAAGGAAGUUACUUGGAGGAGACCAGGGGCUUGCAUUUGGGCCAAAACCAAGGACAAGAGAUCAGCUGGUCCCAGGGAACUCUGGAGCCCAACACCCCACCACGGGUGCAGGGGCCUGACAACCCAACAGAGGGCUGUGGGCACCGGGCACCAGCCUGUGGGGGGUCUGAAGGCUGCUGCCCAGCCACACAUGUCCUGGUUCUGAACAAAGGGUUCAAGAGACACCUGGAAACCUACCCUUCUGAGAGCAGCCUCUUAGCCUCAGCUGGUAUUGGCCCCUGGUCACCCCACAUGCCCCGACAGUGGGGCCUGGCCUCAGAAAGGGGCCCCUCCAUUUGUACUUUCUAUCUGAUCCUUGACACAGUGCUAACACCAAAGACCAAACCCGAAUCUUGGUUCACAUACUCUGCAAAGAAAUGACUAAGACAAGUUCUUCCGGAGGUCAGUUUUAGAACAUUAUUCUGACUUAAUUCUGCCUUAUCUCUGUGCAACAAGAAAACUAUCUGCACAUCUGUAGUAAAAUGUGAAGAAUGCAGAUCAAUGGAUUCCUGGCCAUCAGGGAGGCGUUGAUUGCAAAGGGGCCUGGUGGAAUAUUUGGAGAGAUUCUACAUCUUCUUGCAACUGUUCAUCUGGAUUACGGUGGUGGUUGCAUGAGUGUGCAUUUGUUGAAACUCACAUGUCACAGGAUGGAUUAUACUGAAUGUAAACUACACUUGCGUAAAUAUGACUUUUAAAACUUUAAAAAGUUGGGGGAUGGUUCACUGCCCCGGCUCGAAGCCCCCUGGCCACGCUGCCUGGCCAGCCCACCCGCAUCCCUGCCAGCGCUUGCCUCCAGCGUCCCAACAGCCUCCUGACCCCCUGGGCUGCUCUAAACCCUCAGGAGCGCAGCCAUCCGGGAUCAGCUGGAUGGAGAUGGGGAGCCCGAGACUCGUGCCACACCACGUCCUCCCACCCCCACCAGCCACACGCAGACGUCAAAGCAGCACUGUCCUCGCACGCGCUGCUCCCACCCACCCUGGCAUGGCCAUUCCAGGCCUGGGGCAGGAAGGCAGAUGCUCCCCCUGCCCCCAGACACAAGCAUUCCUGCACAUACCCCCAGCACACACACACACUCCCAUGCGCACACUGACACACACAGGUGUGUGCAGCUGAGACACAGCCCAUUCCCAGGCAGUCCAGCCCCCGUCACUGAGGGAAAGGGGCAGCACCACGGGGCCACAGGAGUGGCAGCUGGACACAGAG
rnacentral:lncRNA from 1 species